rnacentral:rRNA from 1 species
UACGUAGGGUGCAAGCGUUGUCCGGAAUUAUUGGGCGUAAAGAGCUCGUAGGCGGUUUGUUGCGUCGGCUGUGAAAUCCCGAGGCUCAACCUCGGGUCUGCAGUCGAUACGAGCAAACUAGAGUGUUGCAGGGGAGACUGGAAUUCCUGGUGUAGCGGUGAAAUGCGCAGAUAUCAGGAGGAACACCGGUGGCGAAGGCGGGUCUCUGGGCCGAUACUGACGCUGAGGAGCGAAAGCGUGGGGAGCGAACCGG